AUUUCAAUUAUCUUGAAAAAGACUAAUAUUUUGACAAAAAUAUAACUUCAUUGUCAGAAUGUUUUUUUUUUCAUACCAUACCAACUUUAUGUAAUUGAAUGCAUGUUAUUUAUUUUUUUUAAACUUGAUAACAGUUUUAUCUGAAGUACCGAUCGGGUGUAUUUUGAAGUGAAAUUUUUCAUUGACCACACCAGUCGGCAUCUCCUCAUUCAUCUUAGGCCUGAUCACUGACCUAAUAUGAACUUGUGGCACCUUUUAGGUAACUAUCACUGUUAAGGUAAAAGAUUAUGUGCACACAAAAUUAAUUGCAUUAUCUGCGUAAUAUACAUACAUCAUUGUUACGAUAAUGCUUCAGUAUAUGAGGUAACCUAUUUUUAUCAGUCUUAAUUUAUCGGUGGUAAUAAGUGUGUAUGGUGCAAUGAUUAGCAUCAAGAAAACCUGUUAUGUUUAUUUAUUUACUUGAACGGUUAUCGAAGUGAAUUUUGAGAAGAUUCCCAUUAACUAUCUUAUACCAUCUGCUAAUUAGUACCAUUGUUCAUGUAAAAGAGCUGUUCAAAAGACUCAAUCUUUCAGCUAUUGUAAAGCUGCUGUUUAAAAUACCUAGGUCGAAUAACGCAUCACACUUCUUGAACCCUCCAGCGAGCUACUUGGAAAGGCGCGUCAAACUACUGGUAGCUUUUGAGUGACUGUUUAAAUUGGACUAAUCUAACCUCAUUUAGUUUUUCCUGUUAAGUCGUUGUUCAACCACUUCAGAGUCAAAGCUCUAUCAUUUUAAUUUGUCUACUAAGAUAUUGUGGUUGACUCUAUAAAAUAUUUUUUCAAGAUCAAUAAAUACUGCAGCUUUACACAGUUUAUGGCAGUGGUUGUUUCUUAUUUAAAUGAUUGCCAGCGAUGUUGAUCUCUCUGUAUUCAUAUUGGCUAAUGCAAAGUAGUGUGUUUUAUAAAUUCAUCUAAUCUGUAGGGAAACAAAAACAAUAUUUUUUUUUGGAUCAAUGUACUUAUUUGUAAACAAUUUAACAACCUAUAAAUGUAACACAAAACAAUGUAACAAUACGUCAAAACACAGGGGGGCAUUGGGGGCCGAAAGACAGGAUUUGAACGAGAACCAAAAUGUAGUUUUUGCUUUUUGUUACUUGUGGUACACAGCAAUAUUGACUUUAUUUUGCUACAAUUAUUCCGUUAUGUAAUAAACAUUAAUAACUAUUUUGUCGAUCUUGUUACAUUGUAUUUUAAUAUUGUACAGUAUUGUAAGUAUAUACUGCUAAAUUGUUCACAAUUAGGUAUUUUUAUAAACACUUUUUGUUUGCCUAAAAUCUUUGUCCUGUCUUAUUUUGAUCAUUAUCAUGAUCAAUAAAUUUAAAGGCAAAAGAAUUGGCAGAUUUCAAGUAAAAAGUGAAACUGUAUGAGCAAUACUGGCUCUGUGUUAACUUAUCGAAUCGAUACCAAAAUGUGCAGUAUCAUCCGCUCAGUAAACCAAGAGAGGAAACUUGUGACACAAGACCAUCAGAUAGGACACACCCUGCUUGCCUUUGCGGUAGCACGCAGUGCGGUGACAAAACUGCUAUGUCGGGCCUGUCAAAGAGAGAGAGAGAGAGCGAGAGAGACAGAGGGGGGGAUAAUGCUGAGUCAGUGAACAUACCAUGAAAGCCCAGGGAGAGGGUGCCAGAGGGUAAACGCCAGGGCGAGAGGGUAGAGAAAGGUUACACUCAGGGAAGAUGGAUAUCCUUUUGCCUGGGCUGUCCCGGGUGGCCGUUUGCGGCGGUACCCAUGGUAACGAGCUUUCCGGAGUUUACCUAGUGAGGGAGAUGCUGAGGAUGGAAAAAGGAGACAAAGACAUGUCGACACAGAAGCUGCUAUCCAACCCGCGGGCCGUCAAGCUAUGCCGCCGCUACCUGGACGUCGAUCUUAACCGCUGUUUCACCCACGCCGCCCUGAACGGUCCCUUACCUAAUCCAGCUCCCUAUGAAAUAGUUCGAGCCCGAGAGCUGAAUGCCAUGCUCGGCCCCAAAGGUAGUCCGCAAGCAGUGGACCUGGUUUGUGAUCUACACAACACAACGUCUAACAUGGGCCUGUGUCUUAUUGCCUUCUCCGACUGCGACUGGAUCAGCCUGCAUAUAUACCUCUACCUACAGAGAGAGAUGGGAUGUAUUCCAGUGAGGUACGUUCAUUUCGAUGUCUCAGACAAGGAUUCCUAUUCCCUGGAUUCAGUUGGAAAACAUGGUUUUGCUUUAGAGAUCGGGCCUCAACCACAUGGCUUGGUGAGGUCUAACAUCUACUCAGCUAUGAAAGAAGGCCUCCAGCACAUUCUCAACUGGGCGUUGUUUUUAAUGGCGGAUCGGUGGAUGUGUUCACCACGGUUGGACACGUGGACUAUCCAAGAGAUGAGGACACUCACAACAUCACAGCAGCCAUUCAUCCUCAACUCCAGAGCAUGGGUCCCCGAACUAUGGCCGGAUAGAGCCCGCCAGCGUCCAAAAUCCGGCCCGCGGGAAGUCCCAGGUUAAAAAAAAAAAAGGUUUUUAAAUAAAUGUUUACAAUCUGUCCUUUCUAAUCCUUUUUCUACUGCUUUUUCUUGUGAUUUUUUUUCUGGAAAUAUUUUUGGCGAUUAAUACGAACUAUUUCUUGAAAGUUUUAUUUCCAUAAAACUCAGAUUUUUUUGUUGUAAAAAUAUGACUAACUACAAUUCUAGUAAAAAAAAAAAUGUGUCUGGUUAUCAAACAAUUUUAUAAUUAGCAUCUACUUUUUCCAGUGUGUCCCUAUAAUGCGAGUUAAAAAAUGUUUUUGACUCACUAUCACCUAGAGGAUUUAUGUGGAACUACAGGAUGCGACAGUUUACUGUUUAACCAAAUGAUCCAUCCAUUCAUUUUCUACCGCUUAUUCCCUUUCGGGCUCGCAGGGGGCGCUGGCGCCUAUCUCAGCUACAAUCGGGCGGAAGGCAGGGUACACCCUGGACAAGUCGCCCCCUCAUCGCAGGGCCAACACAGAUAAACAGACAACAUUCACACACUAGGGCCAAUUUAGUGUUGCCAAUCAACCUAUCCCCAGGUGCAUGUCUUUGGAAGUGGGAGGAAGCCGGAGUACCCGGAGGGAACCCACGCAUUCACGGGGAGAACAUGCAAACUCCACACAGAAAGAUCCCGAGCCUGGAUUUGAACCCAGGACUGCAGGAACUUCGUAUUGUGAGGCAGACGCACUAACCCCUCUUCCACCGUGAAGCCCCUUAACCAAAUGAAUGCUGCUGUAUUUACAUCUAAAUUCCAACUAUUUUUAUUUUAAUGUCCCUAAUGUAUUGUCCAGUGGUUAGCGUUCCAUUAUCCCUGAAGAGAUGCAUGGUAAUCUGUCAGAGGUCAUGGAUUAACCCACAUCCCUGCUAUAGCAUCAUAAUCUUUGAAGUCAAGUAAAACAAUCAAGUGCGCUUUGCGGGGGUGGGGCUUUAGGCCACGCGGUAGGCGCUCAUGCGGUAGUAGUUGCGACUGUGGCUGCGUGCUGCCCACACCAGCAGCGCGGCUGCCAUCAUGUGGAGCGGUGAGGACAUGAGUGCCAAGUACAGGGACCAACCCAGUGAUCCGUCCACCUUGUCGGGAAGAACUGAGACCCUGUGAAGGAGGUCCAUCCCCGCUAGGUAGCAACACACUGUGGCUAAGGAGCAAAGACCUGCAGGGGAAUAACACAGACAUCCCGUUUUUGGUCACAUUUUAAAAUACGGGUUAACAUAAAAAUAGAAUAAACUCUACUUUAGGACAAAAUUUUAGUAUCUUGAUACCGUACAUUAUUGGCACAUCGUUACAUUUUGAUACUGAAAGGGUAGAAAUCUUGAUACUCGUCAUGAAGGAACUUGACAUCUCGGAAUACAGUAUACUGACACUAAAAGAAACAAUUUAAGUUAUAGCUGUUAGGUGAUACAACACAUUUUCCAUUCCACUCCAGUAUCACGAAUCUAUAUUGUCACUGUCUGACGUCCAAAUGCGAUCAUAUGAUGGACAAAAUAUUAGUAUUGCCAUACAGUAUAUCGCAGUAUUUCUACACCAUCGGUUAACAUUUAAGUUUUGCGCAAUUCAAAAGGUGUAAUUGUUUCCGAACAUUUUUGGCUGACAAAACAUCUUCAACUACUGUAGUUGUAAAAACAGCAAAACAUGGAGAUGUAAUCCAAAUGCAAGUUUCCAGUUACUAGAGGCACAUUUGGUGUAGUAUGAAUUGCGAAAUAGUUUAUUUCAGUGCUAUUCAAAUGGCGGCCGUAUCUGGCCCAGGAAUGACAUCGUACUGGCCCCCGAGUACAGUUGAAAACCUUGAAGACAUUUUUGCAGAAAAUUCUUAAAAAUACUAAAUGCUCCUGUUGUGUGGAGAGGAGGAACUUAGACCACUGUAAACACAUUGGCAUAUCCUUGCAUUGACAUUUUAACCUUACAAGUAAAUGGAACACUAAAAGGUCCAGAUUAGUUAUUUACAUAUUUAAAUCGCUCUUCAGAGCAUGUCUUAAAGUCUUAUUUUUUUGGCAAUUACUAUUUAUUUUUGUGAUGUGAUUUUGUUGCUGUAGAUUGGUUACUUCUGAUCCAGUCAGUAGUAAUUUGUUCAACUUCUUUAGUUAUAUUGGUGGUGUUCCUCGAGGUUCCAUUUUAUGUCCUCUCUUUUUUAUCAUUUGUGGUAUUCAACUGGUGGUGCGGAGUUCAGUUAAAAAAAAAAUUAAAUGUGGCCCCCACAACAAUUUAGUUGAAUAUCCCUGCUUUAUUUAGUUCAGCUUUGCGUAAUGAAUUUCAUUAAAGGGGUCAUUUUUAGAUUUUUUUCCCCCUACAUUUAAAACACUUUCUUGUGGUCCACAACAGUGGUUCUCAACCUUUUUUCAGUGAUGUACCCCCUGUGAAUUGUUUUUUAAUUCAAGUACCCCCUAAUCAGAGCAAAGCAUUUUUGGUUGAAAAAAAAGAGAUGGAGUAAAAUACAGCACUAUGUCAUCAGUUUCUGAUUUAUUGAAUUGUAUAACAGUGCAAAAUAUUGCUUAUUCUUAGUGGUCUUUCUUGAAUUAUUUGGGAAAAAAAGAUUAAAAAAUAACUAAAAACUUGUUGAAAAAUAAACAAGUGAUUCAAUUAUAAAUAAAGAUUUCUACACAUAGAAGUAAUUAUCAACUUAAAGUGCCCUCUUUGGGGAUUGUAAUAGAGAUCCAUCUGGAUUCAUCAACUUAAUUCUAAACAUUUCUUCAGAAAAAAAUAAAUCUUUAACAUCAAUAUUUAUGGAACAUGUCCACAAAAAAUCUAGUUGUCAACACUGAAUAUUGCAUUGUUGCAUUUCUUUUCACAGUUUAUGAACUUACAUUCAUAAUUUAAGUAUUAUUGAAUAAAUAUAUUUAGAGGAUUUUUGAAUUGUUGCUAUUUUUAGAAUAUUUAAAAAAAAAUCUCACGUACCCCUUGGCAUAUCUUCAAGUACCCCCACGGGUACGCGUACCCCCAUUUGAGAACCACUGGUCUACAUAACAUGUGAUGGUAGUUGUAUAAUCAAAACUCUUCAUAGAUUCGUUUUUACAAACAUUCUUCAAGUUGCUUUCUGACUGUCCGACCGUGGUGAUGAAUUUCCCUAGGGAUCAAUAAAGUACUUUUUAUCCUAUUCUAUUCUAUUCUAUCUCUUCAGGAUGACCACGUCCCCUCCUCGUCAGCCAUGUUUUAGUUUUUACCCUCUUUUUUUUAAUUCUUUUUUUAUGGGUAAACUUUAUGAUGUCAGGUGUGUUAUUUCAGCCAGACGUCAAAAUGCAUGUGUCGAUAUUGUUAACACCCACAUUUUUAAUUGCAGAAAGUCAGCCAUCUGUUAUGCUGUGCUAUGUUGACGCGCCAAAAUCUCGCAUCACUGGCAUAAACGUUCAUGUAAUAAGGAGCCCAGACACAUUUUUUUUUUUUCUGCUCCAAAUUAUCGAUCUUUUAUAUCAUUGGCAAUAUAACGUGAUCCUUUUUAUCAUUUCGCUUCAUUAGUACAUCCACUUGUCCAUUCGUUUCAUCUAUUUGUUUGCAAAUCACUUCCUUUAUGUUUUUGCUUAGUAUUUGCUGUCUUCGUGGUGUUUCUCUCUUAUUUCGUUUAACAUUAUCGUUACUUCUCGGGGACUAUAUGCAUGAUGACUGUUUUCCAGGUCCUCCUCCACUGUAUACGCUGCAGCUGAAGACUUUUUUUCUGCCUUUUUUGUUGGUGGCCAGAAAGUUUAAGGUUCGGACGUUCGCAACCAUUAACUUGAUUGCUCGUGAUCGUAACUCCUUAUUUUUCUUUGACAAGUUUGAUCCUCAGGCCAGACGGUAUUUAAACCAGUAGUGUCAGCAAACAAAUCUGUAAUCCUGGUCCAGAUUACAGAUUUAUCGAUAUAUCGCGGGUUUGUCUCUGCAAUAUAGAAAAUGACUAUCGUAAUAUUCGAGUAUACGUUCUCACGCAAUUGCUCUUAGCUGCGGGCAUUACACUACAGGCUCUGCCCACUCCUUCUUGUGUCUCCUUCUCACAGACAGUAAGCACACAUUCUUACACACGUGACAAACUGUCAUGUCAUACGUCACAUACGUAUACGCCCUCGCCCAGCAGAGAGGUAGCAGCGUGGCUAACGUUAGCUGUGAUGCUAGCGGAGUGUUGCGAGGGAUAAUACAAGACAAAUAAGGUGCGAAUCUGGUAACAAAUGAAGAAAGAAUUAAUUCCCAGGAAAAACAGCACGGGGUCCAUCGUCUGGCGGUGGUUCGACUUAAAGCGGGAAUAUGUCGAAUAGACAACUUUAAUUUGUCAUGUGUGAGGCACAAACGUUGCUACCAAAAGUAGCAUUACUGCUAUUAUGUAUCAUAGUUUGAAAAUUCACCUGCUAAUAACUUUAAUAAAAACAGUUUUGGUGAAUUGACUUAGUUGUGAUUUCCUUCUCUGCAUGAAAGUUUCAAAUGAGCAAGUAUUAAUGCAGUAUGAAGAAGAAUGUUUUAAUGUAGACACAUAGAAUCUUCAUACUACUGUGAUUAUAUGCAUCAAGUGUUCAUUCAAGGCUAAGGCAAAAUACCGAGCUGUAUAUCGCGAUAUGGCCUAAAAAUAUCGUGAUAUUAAAAAAAGGCCAUAUUGCCCAGCCCUAGUCCAGAUCGUUUUUGGGAAAAGUGACAAAAUAGUCCGAAAGGUAUAUAUUAGUGCAGAGCUCUUUUCAGUCUUCACCGGAAAUGGCGACAAUACUAAUUUCAGUAAGUAGGGGUGUCCCGAUACAACUAUUUCCCUUUCGAUAACAUCCUGAUAUUGGAGCUAUAUGUAUCGGCCGAUACGGAUAUAAAUCCAAUAGAUAUCAGCACAAAUAAUUUUAGAAAUGACUUGAUCAAGGGAAUUACUCAAAGAACAAUGUCAGGUGUAUAAAACUAUGUUUUUGACAAAUGUAUGCUGUCUUUACAUUUAAGUGGAGUGGCAAUUUGUUUUUGGAGACACUUGGUGGUCACAAUGAUUCAUUAUUACAAGUUUAUUAGUGGAUACUUUCUAAUAUGCCUCUGUCUUGGAGACUUUUUGUAUAUCUAAGCAAUAUGCAACUAUAAUUUUGUUAUGCUUAUUUUGACAAUGUGGUGUUUCAGACUGCAAUAUUGUGGUCUAUUGAUGCUUAGCUGCUGUGUAUCUGCUUGCUCCUAUAGCCUACCAUGUUUACCUUUUAUAAUUUAUCUCUGUAAAAUACAAGAUACCUUGUAUGCUUAUAGGUUGUAUUCACCUGAUGUCAUGUUUGGCUCCUUAACUAUGCGAGGCUCGAAGUGGUGGGCCAGCAAGCUUCUGUUGUCAGAGCGUACUGGGCCGCAUUUUGUCUUUCUCGGAGAAAAUGCCCAAUGCUUGCAUUUUUUUAAAUCGUUGGAACCGUUAAAAUCGCGAAAAGGACAAGUGUCUUCAGAGUUCCUCAAGAUUUAUUCAAGAAGGGCAAAAGAUGUCAAGAUUUUACAAAAGACGAGAAAAGUGGCAUGCACUCCAGUCCAAGAAGGCAGAGUCGGAAAACGCACAAAGAAUACAGUGUUCACGUCGGUUUUUUGAUAUACUUUUAAUGUUUAGUAAUUCCCAUUUAAGUAUUAUCCUUAUAGUAUUUGUAAUUUAUCUUGUUUCAAAGUUCUUAAAAUGCAUUUUUGCUAAAAAUGUUUGGUAAACACCAACUUGGCGAGUCUAAAUAAAAGAAAACAAAUGUGAGCAUAACCUAAAAGAGUUGUACUUUUACCAAAGACAGCAGUCAUAAAUGAAGCUUUCAGCACAUACACAACAUUAAUCAACAUUAUAGUUAUAUUUUAGUAAAAACGGGUUAAAACAUGCAUACUCGUAACGGUGCAUGUAACAGCAACAAACAGGGCUGUAGACGUCAAGUUUAAUCAUGAAAUGCAACCUUACCCAAGCAAAAACGAUGCAUAUUUAUCUGGGAGAGUCUUGAUACCAAUUUCUUCGACCCGGCAACACAAAAAAGUUUUGCUUUUCCAAGUUUUCAUCUGUUUUAUCAUGUAGAAACAGAUAGUUGAAGAGACUGAUCGGUAAUCCUUGGGAUCACUUGACAAAUCUUUUUUAUUAGAUAACAUAUAGGGAUAGAUUACAUUGCAUAGUUUGAUUUUUUUGUUUGUAUCUGCUUUUUGUGGUAAGAUAUAGGUUCCUUGUGUACUCAGAUAGUUUGCACUCUGUUUGCUGCACAUUAGCCAUGUUGGUUUGGUGGCCCACCACUUUGUUUACUUCCGAUCAAAAGUCACGUGACUGAAUACAACCUAUUGAAGGAUAUUUGUAUGUUAACUGGCUGUCCAGCUUUGCACAAGUAAACGCGCUGCAGGCUGUUUGUAUCGUAUCCUGUAUCAGAUAUUUUACAUUCAGGCCGAUAUACAGUUUUUGGAUGUUUUUAGAGUGCUUUAUGGCCGCAAUAGAUUACUCCAAUUCGCUGCAUUAUUAGCCACCUCGUACUUGCUGUAUUUUACAAAUAAAAAUUAAUUUAAAAAAAAAAAACAGGUAGGCAACAUUCCAAAAAAAGUGCUGCUACCCUUUAAGUUGCGUUGUAUUUUUUAACAUUUUGAUUAAGUCCCCAGUCUUAAAAACUGUUAUCCGCUGUUAAAAGUACAACGGAAAAAAAUUAUUAUUUUUGUGUGCAUAUUUUUUGCCGAAAGUUUUGGUUUAAAAAAAGAAUGUCAACCACUGUAAUACUAACAAUAAAACAUGUUUGUUCAUUCUUCAAUGCUAUCUUAGCUAAACCCUGGUGUAAACGCAUGAUGUUUAACUUAAUCCAACAAGAACCUAAAAAAUUCAGACUGGUAUGACUUUUUCACUCUGUUAAACAUACAGUGUACUGGUAAUGAUAGCUAGUUUACCUGUCAGCAGAUGAAGUACACCGAUGGCAAGUGUUGGGGCGAGACUUUGACACAGGCAGGCGAAGAAGCCGAUCAGGCCUGCCAAGACUUCUAAUCCCAGAGACACGAGUGGGAGAAGGAACUGGAAUCUCCACAGGUCUAUUGAAAGCGUAUAGAAAGCCAAGGGAGCCAAGUUAGAAAAAUUGUCACCAUGGCCCUGGAAUACUUAAGGAGACCAUUCCAACAUUAUGAACCAGACAAUCAACAUCUUGAGUAAAAAUGUAAACCCUCAGCCAAUAAAAUGAAUUCAAAGAAAGACCUCACAAUAGAGACCUGCAACAUUGAAAGCUUCUUAAAAGAGAAAACAAGCAACAUAGCUGAGCUACAAGUGGACAUCAUUUGCUUGCAGGAAACCCACCGAAACUCUACCUGCAAGCAUUCGAGCCUACUGUAUGUCUACUGCAGUGGUUCUUAACCUGGGUUCAAUCGAACCCUAGGGGUUCGGUGAGUCGGCCUCAGGGGUUCGGCGGAGGUCAAAACACACCUGACUCAUCGUGUAAAUACAAACUUCUCCCUAUCGGCGUAUUACGGAUACGGCAACAGCUGACUGAUUUGCAGGUGUGUAAUUUGUUUCCAGUUUAUGCACGGUGUUUUUUGAACAAGGUGAUGUUCAUGCAUGGUUAAUUUUGUGCACCAGUAAAAAAAAACAUGGUAACACUUUAGUACGGGGAACAUAUUCACCAUUAUUUAGUUGCUUAUUAACAUGCAAAUUAGUAACAUAUUGGCUCUUAACUAGUCAUUAAGUUCUUAUUAAUGUCUUAUUCAGCAUGGCCUUAUAACCCUAACCCUGACCCUAACCCUAACCAAAUAACUCUAAAUUAAGUCUUUAUCACUUAGAAUGUUCCCCUAGUGCAGUGGUUCUUAACCUGGGUUCGAUCAAACCCUAGGGGUUCAGUGUAGGUCGAAACACACCCGACUCAUCGUGUAAAUACAAACUUCUCUCUGUCAGCUGACAGAUGUGCAGGUGUGUAAUUUGUUGUGAGUUUAUGCACUGUUUUGGUUUUGUUUGUUCAUGCACGGUUCAUUUUGUGCACCAGUAAAAAAAAAACAUGGUAACACUUUAGUAUGGGGAACAUCCAUCCAUCCGUUUUGUACCGCUUAUUCCCUUUUUGGGGUAGCGGGGAGCGCUGGUGCCUAUCUCAGCUACAAUCGGGCGGAAGGCGGUGUACACCCUGGACAAGUUGCCACCUCAUCGCAGGCCAACACAGAUAGACAACAUUCACACUCACAUUCACACACUAGGGUCAAUUUAGUGUUGCCAAUCAACCUAUCCCCAGGUGCAUGUCUUUGGAAGUGGGAGGAAGCCGGAGUACCCGGAGGGAACCCACGCAUUCACGGGGAGAACAUGCAAACUCCACACAGAAAGAUCCCGAGCCUGGGAUUGAACCCAGGACUGCAGGACCUUCGUAUUGUGAGGCAGACACACUAACCCCUCUUCCAGCGUGAAGCCUAUGGGGAACAUAUUCACCAUUAAUUAGUUUCUUAUUAACAUGCAAAUGUAUUAGUAACAUACUGGCUCUUAACUAGUCAUUAUUAAGUACUUAUUAAUGCCUUAUAAUAACCCUAACCCUCUAACCCUGACCCUAACCAAAUAACUCUAAAUUAAGUCUUUAUUACUUAGAAUAUGUUCCCCUUGUGUCCAAAUAACUCUAAAUUUACUUAGAAUAUGUUCCCCAUACUAAAGUGGUACCAAAAACAUACUACUUUGUCUUGAAUUUGAAAAAAAAAACAUUUUAUUUUUCACUAGAGAAGGGUUCGGUGAAUGCGUAUAUGGAACUGGUGGGGUUCAGUACCGUCAACAAGGUUAAGAACCACUGCCCUAGUGUCUAAAUAACUCUAAAUUAAGUCUUUGUUACUUAGAACAGUGGUUCUCAAAAGGGGGUACGCGUACUCCUGGUGGUACUUGAAGGUAUGCGAGAUUUUUUUUUAUAUAUUCUAAAAAUGACAACAAUUCAAAAACUCUUUAUAAAUAUAUCUAUUGAAUAAUACUUCAACAAAAUAUGAAUGUAAGUUCAUAAACUGUGAAAAAAAAUACAACAAUGCAAUAUUCAGUGUUGACAGCAAGGUUUUUGUGGACAUGUUUCAUAAAUAUUGAUGUUAAAGAUUUCUUUUUUGUGAAGAAAUGUUUAGAAAUAAGUUCAUGAAUCCAGAUGGAUCUCUAUUACAAUCCCCAAAGAGGGCAGUUUAUGUUGAUGAUUACUUCAAAUAUUUCAAUUCAAUUCAAUUCACUUCUAUGUGUAGAAAUCUUUAUCAAAUCAAAUCAAAUCAACUUUAUUUAUAAAGCACAUUUAAAAUUUACCACAUGGGUAGCCAAAGUGCUGUACGAUGGGCAGGUUAAAAGAUAAUAUGAGAACCGAGCAAACAACACAACACAAACAGAACAUGAUAAAAAAUAAAUUAAAAAAACAUAAAAACAGGUUCACAGCAGGUGUAUAAUGGGGCGCCAUUGCAGGAUGGAUAUCACUCAGUGUUAAAAGCCAAGGCAUAAAAGUAUGUUUUUAAGAGAGAUUUAAAAACAGGAAGAGAGGAGGCUUGUCUAACACUCAGUAGGUCGUUCCAGAGCUUGGGAGCAGCAGCGGCAAAAGCUCUGUCACCUCUAAGCUUCAGCCUAGAAAUCUUUAUUUAUAAUUGAAUCCCUUGUUUAUUUUUCAUCAAGUUUUUAGUUAUUUUUAUAUCUUUUUUUUCCAAAUAGUUCAAGAAAGACCACUACAAAUGAGCAAUAUUUUGCACUAUUAUACAAUUUAAUAAAUCAGAAACUGAUGACAUAGUGCUGUAUUUUACUUCUUUAUCUCUUUUUUUCAACCAAAAAUCCUUUGCUCUGAUUAGGGGGUACUUGAAUUAAAAAAAAUGUUGACAGGGGGUGCAUCACUGAAAAAAGGUUGAGAACCACUGACUUAGAAUAUGUUCCCCAUACUAAAGUUGUUAAGUGUUGUACUGUUGUACGCCCUUACUCAUUGUGUCCAUUAGAGGGCAGUGUUCACCUCUGUGUUACCUGACACCUAUGUUUCCUGUUCCGGGGUCACGAGUUCAAUCUAUGUGUCGAGCGGCAGCACAUUUACGAUGCUGCCGAUACAAUAAAUAUAUCUACAAGACCAAAGGUAAAGUAUGUCUCAUGAGAGUUUGACUACAUCUCCACUGCAACGCACGAUGCUCAUCGGGUUAUGGGCCCAGUAACGCAAGUCUAGAGCUACAACAAGGUAACAGAAGUAAGAAGAACUGUUAGCCAGGAGAAGCUACUAGGCGAGCUCGGAUAAAGAUGGCGCCGAGAGAACCCCGCGAAAAUUGAGGACUCUACAAGCCACAGCCUGAGCAACAUUUUGGAGAUAGCAAACUAUAAAAAGAAUACAAGUGAAAAUGGCCGGAGCAGGAAUGCUACAACAGCAGAUUGUCUUUGAUGGAACAGAAGAUAAGUAUGAUUUAUGGGAAACAAGAUUCCUCAGCCGUUUACACAUCCUGAAGCUAAAAGACACCAUUUUGAGAGAGCCCACUGGCGAGGCUGCCAUAGCGGCAGAUCCAGCGAAGAAUGCAGAUUGUUAUGCUCAACUAGUGAACGCACUAGAUGAUAAGAGCCUAUCAAUGAUAAGACAUGACGCCGCCGAUGAUGGAAGGAAAGCCUUGAAAUUAUUAAGAGAACAUUAUUCUGGAAAGAGCAAGCCCAGGAUUCUAAACCUGUACACUUCAUUGACCACCAUAAAAAUGGAAGGUAAUGAGACUGUGACCGAUUAUAUGAUAAGGGCUGAGAAUAUAAUUUCAGCUCUUCGUGAUGCAGGAGAGAACAUGAGUGACUGGCUGCUUGUGGCUACCAUUUUUAAUGGACUGCCAGACUCAUUCAGACCACUUGCUGUCCACGUUACACAAAAUGAGGACAACGUGACAUUCAAAGACUUAGAGAGAAGACUGAGGGUUUACGAAGAGUCUGAGAAGAUGAGGACAACCGGACCUGCAGACAGUGUGAUGAAGACUCACACAAAGCAAAGCAAACAAGGCACCAAAACACACUGGAAGGAAGGGGAAGCCACUGUGACAUGUUACAAAUGUGGAGAAAAAGGACAUAUCAGAACCAGGUGUACCAAGAAAGUGUGGUGCAGUCACUGCAAGAGUAACACACACGCAGGGUCUCUAUGCAGGAAAAAGGGAAAAGACGGAGCCAGAAAAGUUGCAGAAGAAAAGGAGGACAUCGACGAAGAGGAUCAAUGUUUCAUGGCCAAGCAUGCAACAGACGAGAGGCCAUCUGUCAACGUCUAGAAGAAAGGGAUAAUGAUGAACGCCGGAGUGACAUCCCAUAUUGUGAAUGACAUCGCCAAGUUCAAGAGCUUUGACAACACAUUCCAGCCCGACACCCAUUCUAUCGAGCUGGCAGAUGGGACCAAGUACAGUGGGAUGGCGCAACGCAGAGGGCGAUCUAUCUACUAGACAAUGAAGGACGCCAACGAAGAGCGCAGCUGCAGGAUGCAUUGUAUAUACCGACCUACCCACACGACAUCUUCUCAGUGGCAAGGGCAACAAACGGUGGGGCGACAGUGAAAUUCAAGAAGGGAGACAGCCACAUGAUCAUCAAGAAAGGGGACAGGUUUGACUUCUUUGAGAGUGGUAAUCUGUUUUACUUACAAACUGUUCAGAAAAAUGUUGAUAAAUGCAAUAUGUGCCACGACAUGCAAACCUGGCAUGAGAUAUUGGGUCACUGCAAUUAUGAAGAUGUACAAAAAUUAAUGGGGGUGGUAAGAGGUAUGAAAAUCAGAGGGAGUGCGGCCAGGCCAACACAGCUGUGUGAAAUAUGUGCAAAGGGUAAAUUCACACAGACAAGAAAUAGAACCAGACAGAAAGGCUACAGAGCCCCUACAACUGGUACAUACAGAUUUAGCCGGUCCUAUGAGAACCCCAAGCUUAGAAGGUCACAAAUAUGCAGAAUCCUUUACGGAUGACUAUUCAGGUGCUAUGACUAUAUUUUCUCCAAAGCAAAAGUGAUGCAGUACACGCUACAGAAAGGUUCUUAGCAGACUCCGCCCCUUUUGGGAAGUUAAAUGUCGACGUUCGGAUAAUGGUACUGAAUUUACGAGCAAGGAAUUCAAAGCACUGUUAACCAAAAAUAAGAUUAAGCACGAGACAUCUGCACCCUAUUCACCGCACCAAAAUGGCACGGCAGAGAGAAGUUGGAGAACCCUCUAUGACAGAGGUCGGGAACCUUUUUGGCUGACAGAGCCAAAAAGCCAAAUAUUUUAAAAUAUAUUUCCGUAAGAGCCAUAUAAUAAUUUUUUGUAACACUGAACACAACUAAACACGUGCAUUUUUAAGUAAGACCAACAUUUCUAGAGUGUAAUAAGUCUCUUAUUCUUUGUAUUAACAUUGUUAUUCUGAAGCUAACUGUGGAGGCGGCGUGGCCUGGGGGCCUGCAGCGAACUGGGGUGUGCCAGGACCGACCUCGAAAUCAGCGACAGGUGCGUCGAUGGCCCACCUGGGCCUUAUCUAAUCACCUGUCGCUCUGUUAUAAGCAGCAGCCAGGAGGAGAGACGGGGUUGGUGAUGGAGCCAGAGCGAGAACGAAAGAGAAAAAUACAAUUGCUGGAAAGCAACUGAGAGACUUAAUUGAAAAUAAAAAAAAUAUUGUAACCCUGAAACAGGCUCUUGUGUUGGUGCUUGGUGGUCUGAAGAACCCCCAGGAGGCCAAGCCCCACACUAACCAAUAAUAAAUAAAUAACUUCUUACCAUUAACGCACCUUCUUAAACUGGUGCGGUAGAAAACGGGUGGAUGGAUUAAAAAUGCAUGAGAAUGUUCUAUAUUUUGAACAUUAUUUUUAACACUGUGAUUACAAGUGGAAUAUUCAUUACUUACCGUGUCAAGCAAUGUCAGCUCAGAUUUAUCCGAGAGCCAGAUACAGUCAUCAAAAGAGCCACAUCUGGCUCUAGAGCCAUAGGUUCCCUACCCCUGCUCUAUGAGAUGGGCAGGUGUAUGCUUUUUGACAGUGAACUACCAGACAAAAUGUGGAAUUAUGCUGUACAGACAGCUGCCUAUGUGCGAAACAGAUGUUACAGUAAACGCACAAAGAAAACACCUUAUUAGAUGCUCACAGGCAAGCGGCCAGACAUGUCCAAAUUUCAAAAAUUUGGAACGGUGUGUUUUGCAUACACGCAGGAGAAAGGGAAGUUAGAUCCUAGAUGUGAGCAGGGUCGUUUUAUCGGGUACGACAAGAACAGCCCAGCUUAUCUUGUGUAUUAUCCAGACAUAGAAACGGUCCAAAAACACAGGCUAGUGAAAUUUACAAACAAGACAGUCAACGAAAAAGAAACACAAACACAUGGGCCACACACUGAGUAUCAAGACAGAGAGGUACACCUCAGGUUCCUUGACAGUGAGGAAAAUAAUGAUGAAAAAAUGGGAAACGCAUCAGGUCAAAGUGUUAAAGAUGAUGUUUCUGUUUCAGAGAUUGAAGGUGAACAGUCUAGCGCUGGGGGUCAGGAAAGAAAGAACCCACCUAGAGUUAGGAGAAGGCCUGUGCGCCUACAGGAAUAUGACAUGGAAGACACAAGAGACAUGCUGGUAACCAGUGUAGACUCGUGUUAUGGAGCAGUUUGCGACAUACCACAAAAUUACCAGGAUGCCAUACGAUCAACCAGGUCACAGCAAUGGAUAAAUGCAAUGAAUGACGAAAUGCAGUCACUAAAAGAGAAUGAUACAUUCAAAAUCACUCAGUUACCACCAGGCAAAAAGGCAGUGGGGGUUAGAUGGGUGUAUACACUCAAGAGUAAUACAGAUGGGUCAGAUAAGUGUAAAGCAAGAUUUGUUGCAAAAGGUUAUAGCCAAAAACAAGGCAUCGAUUAUGAGGAAAUAUUCUCGCCUACUGCUGACAUGACAACAGUCAGAGUAAUCAUACAAAAAGCAGUGCAGGAAGAUCUAGUUUUACAUCAAUGGAUGUGAAAACCGCAUACCUACACGCAUCAAUUGACUGUGAGAUUUAUCUCGAACAAACUGAAGGUUAUGAGAAAAAGUCAAAAACAGGAGAGAAGCUAGUAUGCAAAUUAGAGAAGUCCUUAUAUGGUCUCAAGCAGUCAGGUCGAAACUGGAAUUCUCUUUUACAUGCAUAUCUCACUGAAAACGGUUUUGAUCAAAAUCUUGCUGAUAACUGCCAAUACACAAGGGAAACAGAAAAUGAAAAAGUGAUUUUGAUUGUGUGGGUUGAUGAUCUGAUAAUUGCUGCUAACAAUGAGGAGGUUGUGAAAAAUGCCAAAGUGAUACUUACUGAGACAUUUAAAAUGAAAGACCUGGGGAAGUUAAACAAUUUUCUAGGGAUUGAUUUUAAACAGUCAGAGGACCAAGUCACAAUGUCACAGCACAAGUAUGUAAACAAAAUCCUCUCCAGAUUUGGGAUGCAAGAUUGUAAGGCCAGAGAGACCCCAUGCGAGUCAAAACUCGAGUACACAGAAAAUGCUGUAAAAAUGGAAGAACCAAAGAUCUAUCGAGAGGCAGUGGGAAGUUUGAUCUAUUUGGCUACUUGCACUAGACCAAAUUUAAGUUAUGUGGUCAGUAAACUUUCCCGGCAUUUUGCUGAGACAAGUGAGGAACAUUGGAACACUGUAAAGCAUGUUUUCAGGUAUCUUAAAAAGGUACAACAGACCGUGGGUUAUGUUUUAAAAAGGAUGACACAUGUGAACUUGGCCUAAUAGUCCACAGUGAUGCUGACUGGGCAUCUGAGGUCACAGACAGACGUAGCACCACAGGGUACUGUGCCAGUUUAAGUGAGAAAAGUGCACUAAUUUCAUGGAAAAGUCAAAAGCAACCAACUGUUGCACUGUCUACCUGCAAGGCAGAAUACAUGGCCUUAGCGUCAGCCAUACAGGAGUGUAUGUAUUUACAACAGUUACUCAAGGGUAUUGAUAAGUGUCAGUAUGCACAAACCAAGGUUUACGAUGACAACCAGGGAGCUAUAGCACUAGCUAGAAAUCCAGUAAACCGACAAAGGUGCAAACAUAUUGAUAUAAAAUAUCAUUUCAUUCGUGAAACUGUGAACAGUGGGAGAAUAUGUUUGGAUUAUUGUUCUACUGACAACAUGAUUGCUGACUUGAUGACAAAACCAGCCACUAAGCUAAAACUGAAGAAGUUUGCUCAGUAUUUGUUUGGCACUUAGAGUGCAAGAAAAGCAUAUUGUGUGCCAAAAUGUGUUGUUGUUGUUUUAUUUUGUAUGAAAAUUAAUGUACCACAAUAAGCUAAGAGCGAGUGGGGGUGUUAAGCGUUGUACGCCCUUACUCAUUGUGUCCAUUAGAGGGCAGUGUUUACCUCUGUGUUACCUGACACCUAUGUUUCCUGUUCCGGGGUCACGAGUUCAAUCUAUGUGUCGAGCGGCAGCACAUUUACAAUGCUGCCGAUACAAUAAAUAUAUCUACAAGACCAAA